rnacentral:rRNA from 1 species
UACGUAGGGUGCAAGCGUUGUCCGGAAUUAUUGGGCGUAAAGAGCUUGUAGGCGGUUUGUCGCGUCUGCUGUGAAAUUUCGGGGCUCAACCCCGAACUUGCAGUGGGUACGGGCAGACUAGAGUGUGGUAGGGGAGACUGGAAUUCCUGGUGUAGCGGUGAAAUGCGCAGAUAUCAGGAAGAACACCCGUGGCGAAGGCGGCUCUCUGGUACGUGACUGACGCUGAGACGCGAAAGCGUGGGGAGCAAACAGG